UAUUCAAUUUGAAUUACAAACUAUAUGAUCAGAGUUGACCAUAGUUGACUUUCUGGUAUUUGUUGUAUUUGUUUAGCUUCUGUAUAUCAUUAUCUCAUCUGAAAAAUUAUGGCAGGUGAAUUCAUUUAGACUAGACUUUAAAAAUGAAAAUAUUGAUGGUAUAAAGAUCAUGGACCUUCAAAGUGAAGCUUCCAGCCUCAUCUCAAUGACCUUCUAGGUGUACAUCGUCAUCAAUUAAUUCUCCGGCACCAACGCCUGUUGUUGGCUGUCACUAGUGAUGUUGGAUUGAGAAUAUUAAAAACCGGCAAUUUGCAUCACUCUUCAAGAAAAUAUAGGGUUUUGAUGUCUCUAAUUGUCAAUCCUCGUCCAAGUUAAAAACCUAGGAAAUGCGUUAAGGUUUACCUGCCGCCGCCCUUGAUCGAGUACAUUGUUGCUGAGGUAUAUCGAUUUUAUGAUGAAUGGCAGAGGAAGUAUGGAAAUGCCAAUGCGUGGAGAUAUUGCACAGAUGUUAUAAUAUUUAUAGACUUGAUAUUUGUGCUGAUACUAUGGUAGGGGACGCUAUGAGGAGAGGCAUCUCAGGUGGUCAAAAGAAAUGACUGACUGCAUGUUACUUGUUGUGUACUUGUGUUUAAUACUGACUUGGAUUCGCCGUAGCAUACUUGUGCAUAUGUGUCAGCAUGUGUUUAUUAUGCAUGAUUCAUAAUUUUUUUAAAGUUUAUGCUGGGAUAAUUAACAUCCAAAGCAAUGGGCAUACUUAAGAUGACUUAUAGAUAUCCAAGGUUGAGCCUGAGGAGCUGCUGAAUGUGCGUGAUUAGAACAGGGAAGGGAAGACAACCAUGUUCUUGAUUAAGUGGAAAGGGUUUCCAGCUUGUGAAUCCAUGUGGGAGGAAGCCUCUGUUGGUUUACAGCGAAGGAGCAAGCACAAGCACCUACAGCAGGCACAAAGCAUAGCAGGAUGAGUGAAGAGUUACCGUUAGCCACUAGAGGACAAGAAGAGCAGCAGAAGGAAAUAAAUGAAACUGUACUUGGUAGAAUAGCCUAGUGCAUAAAUAGUAGAGAAAAAGAAAGAGAAGGCAUUAUGGAAUUUGUAUUGUCUUUGGAGAUUAGUAACCUAAAGUUACUUGUUUGGAGAUCGAUAGCCUCAAGCUAUCUGUUUGUACUGUCCGUACUUUUGGAUAUUUGGCGAAUUAAAUCUACAACCUUUUUCUUAAUCUUUAUGUAGUGCUUCUGUAUUUGUGUUG